UACGUAGGGGGCAAGCGUUGUCCGGAAUCAUUGGGCGUAAAGCGCGUGUAGGCGGCCCGAUAAGUCCGCUGUGAAAGUCCAGGGCUCAACCCUGGAAUGCCGGUGGAUACUGUCGGGCUAGAGUCCGGAAGAGGCGAGUGGAAUUCCUGGUGUAGCGGUGAAAUGCGUAGAUAUCGAGAGGAACACCUGCGGCGAAGGCGGGUUGCUGGGCUGACACUGACGCUGAGGCGCGAAAGCUAGGGGAGCGAACGGG
rnacentral:rRNA from 1 species